CGAAGGGAGCUUUCUUUUCUACCUGAUUGUUAAAGCUGUCCAAGUGACAAGGAACAGAUUGUCAGGUUUCCCGCAAAGAAGUGUCUUAUGAAACCAUUUAAUAAACAAUAUGCUUGAAACUA
ensembl:lncRNA novel transcript